rnacentral:rRNA from 1 species
UACGAAGGGGGCUAGCGUUGCUCGGAAUCACUGGGCGUAAAGCGCACGUAGGCGGCCUCAUAAGUCGGAUGUGAAAUCCCUCGGCUCAACCGAGGACGUGCAUCCGAAACUGCGAGGCUCAAGUAUGGAAGAGGGUCGCAGAAUUCCCGGUGUAGCGGUGAAAUGCGCAGAUAUCAGGAGGAACACCGGUGGCGAAGGCGGGUCUCUGGGCAACAACUGACGCUGAGGAGCGAAAGCGUGGGGAGCGAACAGG